rnacentral:tRNA from 2 species
CGGAGCGUGGCGCAGCCUGGUAGCGCACUUGUCUGGGGGACAAGGGGUCGUGGGUUCAAAUCCCGCCGCUCCGACCA